rnacentral:sRNA from 1 species
CUCUCUCUCUCUCUCUCUCUCUCUCUCUCUCUCUCUCUCUCUCUCUCUCUCUCUCGCUUCCUCUCUCUCGCUCCAUGUCUCUCUCGUUGUUUCUCUUUGUAUCCUUCUUGCAAUCACUUGUUCUAGGGUUUGAUCCUCCGUGGUUACAUUGUUUGUUUGUGGGUUUGCUUUGCUUUACUCCGUGGCUACUUUGAUUCUUCGAUUAGCUUUAGUUUAUGGCUUUGUGUUGCUUUGCUUGCUUUGUAUUGCUUUUGAUUCUUCGAUUAGCUUUAGUUUACAGCUUUGUUUUGCUUAUAUUGCUUUGUGUUGCUUUGUGUUUUUGAUGCAGAAAGCUAGGAUCCAGAUUUGGCUUGAAGGAUUUAAGGAUUGAAGGAAGAAUCACUGUAAGUGAUUCAUCUUUGGUUGGUCUCUAAGCUCACGUCUAUCAAUCACAAUAGUUUGCUCUUGCUUGUUUCAGAUCUUUGCUUGGUCUAUGGGAAUCUAAUGGUUUCUCUUCUCCAUUUGCUCUUGCUUGUUUCAGAUCCGUUUUCUCUUUAGGGAUUUUGCUGCAACGGCACUGUGGUUCAGGAUUCAGAACUUGGACAGGUAGGUUAUAUCAAAACACUCUUAACAACAUGAGACAUCAAAUGCCACACACGCUCACAGAAUCUCUCAUAUAAGAAGAAGCAAUGCCAAUUCGUUAGUUUUGAUUUUUCGUUAGUUAU